UACGUAGGUGGCAAGCGUUGUCCGGAUUUACUGGGCGUAAAGGGCGUGCAGGCGGUUUGUUAAGUGCAGGGUGAAAGCUCCCGGCUCAACUGGGAGAGGUCCUUGCAUACUGGCAAACUCGAGGGAGGCAGAGGAAAGUGGAAUUCCCGGUGUAGUGGUGAUAUGCGUAGAUAUAGGAAGGAACACCAGUGGCGAAGGCGACCACCUGGACUGAUACUGACACUGAGGUGCGAAAGCGUGGGGAGCAAACAGG
rnacentral:rRNA from 1 species